UUCUUUCUGGCAGGGUGUGCACACUUUGACUCAUUUCAACAUUAUGAAAUAGCCAAAUUACAUGUGUUCAGCAUCAAUGUUCCAAAAGGUGGGUGUCACCUACUAAAUCUUGACAUUAUAUCGUUUUACAGGCAAAAGGGAUUUUGGAAGAGAGCCCAACUUUCCUUUGAUUAUUUUUUUGUGGAAAAUAUGUAUUUUUAGGAGUCAUUGCAUGAGAGAAUCAGGCAAAAUCUGGUACUUUCAUUGGAUCUGGCUGAAAGUUGCUUUUUUCAUGACUUCUUGUAGAAUUGAUGAUAUUAUGUAUCUGUUUCAAUUUCUCAUUCCAGAUGCUAAAAACCCUCUCCGCGAUUGCAACUGAAGAAUCUUGUAUGAUUUGCAAGGAUGACACAACCUUGUCCGCAAUUGCAUUCGAAGAUUCUUGUUUGAUUUCCAAGAAGAAGGCUUUCAGUUGUCCAGGCCAGGCCAGGUGACCAAUGACGAUGAUAGAUUGGGUUCGAUUCAAGCUAUACGCUUGGUGUAUUUGGUUAUCGUGACUGGCGACUUGAGUCUAUCUCAUCUCAUGUCCAAAGCGCGGUGGCUGGGUCCCAGGCAUGCUUGCCACUUUGUUCUGCGGUCCUCAUCUAAGUUUCGACGGUGAUGACAUGGACUUAGGUUCAAAGUACGUGUUCCCUUUGAGUCAUUGUGGUUGAUUGAUGGGGGGAAUAGACAGUUGCGUGUCGCUAGUCAUUCAAUUGGUCCCCUUGUUUUAGAGUGUUGGCGGGAUAAGUCUUACGACUGUUAACAAUAGUAAGCAAUAGCUGGCCAGCGAUCCCCUACCUGAUCUCGAGGGGGAUGGAAUGACUGGGGUUAAGACCUGUUGUUAACCUGCGGAAUUUCGUCGGAUGAAAUGUCAGGCGUGUCCGUGUGGGACUUGUGCUGAACCUGUUUAGUACAAAUAACGAAGACAUUGGGCUCUUUGGAUAACAACAGUGUUCUUCACCUCCUUGUGCCUCACAAAGCUAAUAAUAUACACCCCCUGAAAUCGACAAGACGGCGAUGAAGAAGGAGAGCCGGCCUCCAACUCGUCAGCCGAGAAGACACUGGAUGGACCCCAAGAAGAUGUUGCUGCCAAUGUUGGAGCCAUACAGGGCAGCCCGAGCCAACAUUGUACAAGGGCCACAAGGACAAGGGACACAAGGACAUGAAGGACACAGGGACAAGGGACACAGGGACAAGGGACACAAAAGACGAUGUUGCAGUCUACAGGCCCUCUGCAGAUUGAGAUGAUGGCUGUCGAGAAGAUCCAACCACUCAACCACAGUCUACAAUUCGUGCUAUGGUAGAUGUGACGGAGCAACUGCAGAAUAACCGGGACACUCUGUGCUAAAUGAUAGGAAUGUGUACAUAAUGUACAGAGGGACAGAGUGUACAUAAUGAACAGAGCUACUACUGUCCCGGCUAUUCUGCAGUUAGGCCGAUGUGACUCUCAACGAUUUUGGAUGACAAAGGAAUCCAAUGCAUAUAUGUCGCUCACAGAUACGGGCAGACGACGGAGAUUCGAGUGGAUUCAGUGGAUCGAAUGGUUGCGCUGAGGGAUAUCCAUGUGCAGGAGUGAUGAACCACAGUUCAGCAAACGAUGCCUUGACAGACCAAUUCAAGGAGAACCUUCGCUAAGAUGAAGAAGGGAACGUGUUUACUGUGUGGAUGGGAAGGACACUUAAAUGUCCGUCAUUCUAAUAGACUAUUAUGACAAUAUUCUAAUUGACUAGAAUGACAAUCUUAACUCGAAAGGGACUCUCUGGACUUACAGAAAGCUACGGACAAAGAGCCCUGACAUGAUACCCUGCAGCCACCAUGAGGACAGCCUAUCUCAUACCUACGGAAGGAUGCCAUCACACGCAUGAUGAGCCGUCCCACAGAAGGGAGAAGGAUGUUGUUGACCCAGCACAUCCCAACCAUGCUCCCAUCGCCGUCAAGUAACAGAACGACGGUUAGAUUGUAUUUUGUCACCGUAGGCUUUAUCGUUUUAUCAAAAUAUCUGAUUGAAAGGUGAUUUAAUGAAAAUUCAAAUUUUUCUGAUGGUGAGAAGGCAAAUAUUUACUCUGCUUAUGACAAGCAUAGAUUGUUUUAAUCUAUGUUUGGUUAUGAUCAUGACUUGUGCCAUGGUUCAAAAUCUUACACUUUUCAAAGAAGGGAUUGAAAUUAUCAUUAUGGCUUGUUUAUGGCUAACAAGGGAGCCAAUGAUAAGUCGCUCCAGAACCCAAACAAAAUAAUUUUCAAGAUAAGUUUUGUUCUUAAGAUAAGAAGGAAUAACAAUUUGGGGGAUGGGUUGUUUGUGGCUACCAGAGAAGCCAACAGCUGCCAGAUGAGGACCCUGAAAUUCUUUUCAGGCAAAAGUUAUUUGUAUGCUUAAAAAUCACAGAAUUCAUCAGAUAUUUACUGGUAUAUCCAUCACUUUUGACAUGGGGUCCAUGUGUUCUUGUUUCGCUGACCCCACGAAACAAGAACACAUGUGUCUGAUGGAACUGUAGGCCUUUCAUACUGUUUCUCAAUCUCAUCAGUACCACAGAAUCAACUGACAUGGCCUGGGCUCUGAUGCCCAUGACCUUUCAUCACACUGGCUGGUUCAGUUGCUCAAUACAUGUACUAUCAUGUUCGAGACAAAUGACCAACAGUGAAUUGUUGAAUUUGAAUUUCCUCCUUGAAGAAAUACCAAAACAUCUUUCCAGUUGAACUAAAACAGUCAGAUUUAAAACUCUCACUGUUUUAUUCGAAAUUUAAAGACUGAUCCUUCCCUAGUGGUCACACUGUGAGCCGUUGUCAAAGCAUGUCAUUCGACAAUGGUGGCAUGCAUGCAUGUUUUGUUAUGGCUUACCAGGGACCCCAAAUUGUUGAUGAUGAUGUUGUCCAUGGGUACAUCACCUUGGGCAAUGAGUGAUCACAAUGGUUCCUUUAUGACAAUUUUUUACAUGAUACUGAAUUGAUUGAGAAAAGUGUAGCUUAAAAACGUCAACUUUUAGACGUUUUAAAACUUUUGUCCUGUAUGAAUGUAUUUGUAAAUCUUGCAUGUAAAUAUUUUGUAAAAUGUCUAAUGAGAUCUAGACUCCAUGACUUGGCAUAAGUAUUGCAAAGCCAACUUUUAAUCUUUGCCCUGUCGAGGUCACCUCUUUUGUCAUGCAAACGACAUGUCAUAACUGCUCCCUUUGUUAUGCUAAGUGGCAGCCAGCUCUGUCCAGUGGCCAUGACAAAUGUGGUUCCUUUGUUAUUCAAAUCAUCAGCAGUGACCAAAUCUAUUGUAAGCUCACAUGGCUCACCUGAAGGCAUGAACAAUAGGUUUUAAUACAAUAGCUAUUCAUGUAUUAUAAACAUGAUGAAUGCAUGGAGAGGUUUAGUGCUAACUCAAACCAUUGUGGUGGAGUACAUGUAGUUGAGUCUAUUGUUUUUUAUCUCAAUUUAGCAUUGUGUUGCAAGGACACUUAUCAGUGUUUCUUUGUGACAUCUUGUAAAGAAGUUGACCACGUCUUAAAGGGAUAGAAAAACUAUCAUAUCUCCCGGUCCUCUUCUUGUAUUGGGCUUUCGGAGUGGUGCAGCCAAAAAAUAAUGUACUACGAUCAUUGUAUGAACUAAAAUAAACAUAAGCACCUGUCACCUGUGUGAUGGAGAUGGCGACUCCCUCCGACUGCGUAGGUUUUCUCCCGGUAUGCGGGUUUCCUCCUACACUACAUUCCAAAUCGUCAUCUGUUUUCUUUGUAAUGUACAGCAAUAAAGUUUUUUUGAAAGAGAAA